rnacentral:rRNA from 1 species
ACGAACGCUGGCGGCAUGCCUAACACAUGCAAGUCGAACGAGACCUUCGGGUCUAGUGGCGCACGGGUGCGUAACGCGUGGGAAUCUACCCUCAGGUUCGGAAUAACUCAGAGAAAUUUGAGCUAAUACCGGAUGAUGACGUAAGUCCAAAGAUUUAUCGCCUGAGGAUGAGCCCGCUUAGGAUUAGGUAGUUGGUGAGGUAAAGGCUCACCAAGCCGACGAUCCUUAGCUGGUCUGAGAGGAUGAUCAGCCACACUGGGACUGAGACACGGCCCAGACUCCUACGGGAGGCAGCAGUGGGGAAUAUUGGACAAUGGGCGAAAGCCUGAUCCAGCAAUGCCGCGUGAGUGAUGAAGGCCUUAGGGUUGUAAAGCCCUUUUACCCGGGAUGAUAAUGACAGUACCGGGAGAAUAAGCUCCGGCUAACUCCGUG